UGUUUGAUACCGUGCCGCUUGUCAGUGUCCCCGUGUCCGUUCCUCGUAUCGACCGAAAGUAUCGUCCGGCAGUUCGUAUCCGGAUUAGUCGAUAGUUUCGUUCCCAUGGAAAGGGAAGAGUUCUGUGCUGGUCUGGUCUCCAUCCAGUAUCCGGCUAAGCCGUUCUGAGUGGCCGUGUCCGGGAGUUUAUAUCCGGAUGAAUCGACUGUUUCGCUAGUGUUUGCAUGCGCCAUCAUGUUUUCGGAUGCUGAGUUACUGAUUAUUGUCCUGCUAGUUAUUUAUUUUUACAUCUAUAAGCUACGUGAAGAUGAUUUCGAAUUUUUAAAAAUUUCGUUGUUUUCGUCAAAUGCGGAACCCGGCAGACGUAAAUAUGCUACAAAUGUCCCUUCAGCCUUGAUGAUGAAUAUUCUAAAAC